AUUGAACGCUGGCGGCAGGCCUAACACAUGCAAGUCGAGCGAGCGGCGGACGGGUGAGUAAUGUAUGGGGACUGCCCGAUAGAGGGGGAUCACUACUGGAAACGGUGGCUAAUACCGCAUACUAUCGGAUAACCCAUAUGGGAUUAGCGAGUAGGUGGGGUACAGGCUCACCUAGGGGAAGAUCUCUACCUGGUCUGAGAGGAUGAUCAGCCACACUGGGAUGGAGACAGGGCCCAGACUCCUAAGGAGGCAGCAGUGGGGAAUAUUGCACAAUGGGCGCAAGCCUGAUGCAGCCGUGCGGCGUGUAUGAAGAAGGCCUUAGGGUUGUAAAGUACUUUCAGCGGGGAGGCGUUACCCGCAGAAGAAGCACCGGCUAACUCCGUGCCAGCCGCCGCGGUAAUUC
rnacentral:rRNA from 1 species